GUCUUUGGUGUUUAUAUACAAAACCCAAAUCACAUAUCCAAGAGGAGAGUUGUAGGGUACAAAAAAGAGAAUCAAGAUGGGUAUGUUCAGCAAGCAUGUUUCCCUGAUUUUGGUGGUGUUUGUUCUUGUGACCAUCUUCCAGUCUCAUCAUCAGAUGACGAUAUUUGCACAAGCAAGGCCACUUUCCAUCAUCCCUGAACAUGGUUAUGCGAAUGUUUUCGAUACACUUGGAAUGAUAUGUAAAUGUUGUGAUCAUUCAAGGGAAGAUUGCACAAGUAGAUGGAAUGGAUCGUGUUCUAAUCUCCGCUGCAUUCCUUGGAAAUUCCGUUAAGUUGAGUGUUCGUAUUUGUAGUUAAUCUGUAGUGCAAAUUUUAACGAGGAUGUAAAUUUGAAGUACAUACAAUACGUGAAGGUGUCGAUUUUGUAGAUUUAGACGUAUCCUUGGCUUUAUAAUGAUUAUUGAAGUACCUUCGAUCUUCAACCUCAAAUAAAUGAUUGUCGCUAGAAUUAGUCAACUAA